rnacentral:tRNA from 1 species
GCCUUGUUGGCUAAGUGGUAUAGCGUCUCACUAGUACCAAGGGACAUGAGAAGAUCGGCGGUUCGAUUCCGCCACGAGGCA